GCGCCAGUAGUCUAGCCUGGCUAGGACGUCGGCUUGCCAAGCCGAAGGCCCGGGUUCAAAUCCCGGCUGGCGCA
rnacentral:tRNA from 1 species